rfam:Trichobilharzia regenti genome assembly, scaffold: TRE_scaffold0036494
GUACUGCUGAAUAGUCGCAAACUAGGACGAAACAGCUGUCCAGUAC